rnacentral:rRNA from 1 species
CCUACGGGCGGCUGCAGUGGGGAAUAUUGGACAAUGGGGGCAACCCUGAUCCAGCCAUGCCGCGUGUGUGAAGAAGGCCCUCGGGUUGUAAAGCACUUUCAGUGAGGAAGAACGCCUGGUGGUUAAUACCCAUCAGGAAAGACAUCACUCACAGAAGAAGCACCGGCUAACUCCGUGCCAGCAGCCGCGGUAAUACGGAGGGUGCGAGCGUUAAUCGGAAUUACUGGGCGUAAAGCGAGCGUAGGUGGCUUGAUAAGCCGGUUGUGAAAGCCCCGGGCUCAACCUGGGAACGGCAUCCGGAACUGUCAAGCUAGAGUGCCGGAGAGGAAGGUAGAAUUCCCGGUGUAGCGGUGAAAUGCGUAGAGAUCGGGAGGAAUACCAGUGGCGAAGGCGGCCUUCUGGACUGACACUGACACUGAGGUGCGAAAGCGUGGGUAGCAAACAGGAUUAGAUACCCUGGUAGUC